ensembl:lncRNA
UCUGCAAAGCCACACGGCAUCCGUCUGUCCUGGGAGUCCCACCGGGCACCUCCUGCAGCCCUCCAGCUGGGUCAGGGCAUCAGCGGCCUACUAGCUGAGAGCAAGAAGCAAUCUACUGUGUCCCUGCAUGACGUGACUCCGCUGAAUGAAUUAAGAGGUCGCGGUGACUUUUGGAGCAAUGGUCAACUGCUGGAGUUGGAGGAGGUUUGGGUUUCUGUGGGAAAACGUGCAGUUAUUUGCAGAAAUGAGCAAGAGGGAGCAGCACAGGAUCUGCCACGAGGAUCUCCCAGGCUGCUGGUCUGCGUGAGGAGGAGAGGAAGGCCUGCACACACGAGGAAGGCUGUGAAGGAGAAAGACUGGGAUGCCCAACAAAGGAAAUUUCAGCUGCAAAGAGUUCCAUCAGGCACGCUAGAACUUGUGAUGAUUUGGGGCUCAAUAACACCUACAGAACAGGUACGUUCAUUACAAAGACCAAGUUGA